rnacentral:rRNA from 1 species
UACGUAGGGGGCAAGCGUUGUCCGGAUUCAUUGGGCGUAAAGAGCGUGUAGGCGGCCAGGUAGGUCGGUUGUGAAAACUGGAGGCUCAACCUUCAGAGGUCGACCGAAACCAUCUGGCUAGAGUCCGGGAGAGGAGAGUGGAAUUCCUGGUGUAGCGGUGAAAUGCGCAGAUAUCAGGAGGAACGCCGGUGGCGAAGGCGGGUCUCUGGGCCGGAACUGACGCUAAGGAGCGAAAGCGUGGGGAGCGAACAGG